rnacentral:rRNA from 1 species
ACGGGAGGCAGCAGUGGGGAAUAUUGGACAAUGGGGGAAACCCUGAUCCAGCGACGCCGCGUGAGUGAAGAAGUAUUUCGGUAUGUAAAGCUCUAUCAGCAGGGAAGAUGAUGACGGUACCUGACUAAGAAGCCCCGGCUAACUACGUGCCAGCAGCCGCGGUAAUACGUAGGGGGCAAGCGUUAUCCGGAUUUAUUGGGUUUAAAGGGUGCGCAGGCGGGCCGGUAAGUCAGCGGUGAAAUGUCGGGGCUCAACCCCGGCAGUGCCGUUGAUACUGUUGGUCUUGAGUGCGGUGAAGGCAGGCGGAAUGCAGUGUGUAGCGGUGAAAUGCGUAGAUAUGCUGCAGAACUCCGAUAGCGAAGGCAGCUUGCCGUACCUGCACUGACGCUCAUGCACGAAAGCGUGGGGAUCAAACAGGAUUAGAUACCCUGGUA